GACUCGUCACACUAUCAUUAACUGAAUCCAUAGGUUAAUGAGGCGAACCGGGGGAACUGAAACAUCUAAGUACCCCGAGGAAAAGAAAUCAACCGAGAUUCCCCCAGUAGCGGCGAGCGAACGGGGAGGAGCCCAGAGCCUGAAUCAGCAUGUGUGUUAGUGGAAGCGUCUGGAAAGGCGCGCGAUACAGGGUGACAGCCCCGUACACAAAAGCGCAUGUGCUGUGAGCUCGAUGAGUAGGGCGGGACACGUGGUAUCCUGUCUGAAUAUGGGGGGACCAUCCUCCAAGGCUAAAUACUCCUGACUGACCGAUAGUGAACCAGUACCGUGAGGGAAAGGCGAAAAGAACCCCGGCGAGGGGAGUGAAAAAGAACCUGAAACCGUGUACGUACAAGCAGUGGGAGCCCCACCACUAAGCCAGUGGUGAACUCCACAUACGCAUCCUUUGCUGAGGAUACGGUUAACGGAGCGAAAGCGACGUUCAACCGCAAAAGAAGCAGAGGGGGCUUAGUGGUGGGGUGACUGCGUACCUUUUGUAUAAUGGGUCAGCGACUUAUAUUCUGUAGCAAGGUUAACCGAAUAGGGGAGCCGGAGGGAAACCGAGUCUUAAUUGGGCGUUAAGUUGCAGGGUAUAGACCCGAAACCCGGUGAUCUAGCCAUGGGCAGGUUGAAGGUUGGGUAACACUAACUGGAGGACCGAACCGACUAAUGUUGAAAAAUUAGCGGAUGACCUGUGGCUGGGGGUGAAAGGCCAAUCAAACCGGGAGAUAGCUGGUUCUCCCCGAAAGCUAUUUAGGUAGCGCCUCGUGAAUUCAUCUCCGGGGGUAGAGCACUGUUUCGGCUAGGGGGCCAUCCCGGCUUACCAACCCGAUGCAAACUGCGAAUACCGGAGAAUGUUAUCACGGGAGACACACGGCGGGUGCUAACGUCCGUCGUGAAGAGGGAAACAACCCAGACCGCCAGCUAAGGUCCCAAAGUCAUGGUUAAGUGGGAAACGAUGUGGGAAGGCCCAGACAGCCAGGAUGUUGGCUUAGAAGCAGCCAUCAUUUAAAGAAAGCGUAAUAGCUCACUGGUCGAGUCGGCCUGCGCGGAAGAUGUAACGGGGCUAAACCAUGCACCGAAGCUGCGGCAGCGACGCUGAUGCGUUGUUGGGUAGGGGAGCGUUCUGUAAGCCUGCGAAGGUGACCUGUGAGGGUUGCUGGAGGUAUCAGAAGUGCGAAUGCUGACAUAAGUAACGAUAAAGCGGGUGAAAAGCCCGCUCGCCGGAAGACCAAGGGUUCCUGUCCAACGUUAAUCGGGGCAGGGUGAGUCGACCCCUAAGGCGAGGCCGAAAGGCGUAGUCGAUGGGAAACGGGUUAAUAUUCCCGUACUUGGUGUUACUGCGAAGGGGGGACGGAGAAGGCUAUGUUGGCCGGGCGACGGUUGUCCCGGUUUAAGCGUGUAGGUGUGUGUUCCAGGUAAAUCCGGUU
rnacentral:rRNA from 1 species